rnacentral:rRNA from 1 species
UUAAGCGACUAAGCGUACACGGUGGAUGCCCUGGCAGUCAGAGGCGAUGAAGGACGUGCUAAUCUGCGAUAAGCGUCGGUAAGGUGAUAUGAACCGUUAUAACCGGCGAUUUCCGAAUGGGGAAACCCAGUGUGAUUCGUCACACUAUCAUUAACUGAAUCCAUAGGUUAAUGAGGCGAACCGGGGGAACUGAAACAUCUAAGUACCCCGAGGAAAAGAAAUCAACCGAGAUUCCCCCAGUAGCGGCGAGCGAACGGGGAGGAGCCCAGAGCCUGAAUCAGUGUGUGUGUUAGUGGAAGCGUCUGGAAAGGCGCGCGAUACAGGGUGACAGCCCCGUACACAAAAUGCACAUGCUGUGAGCUCGAUGAGUAGGGCGGGACACGUGGUAUCCUGUCUGAAUAUGGGGGGACCAUCCUCCAAGGCUAAAUACUCCUGACUGACCGAUAGUGAACCAGUACCGUGAGGGAAAGGCGAAAAGAACCCCGGCGAGGGGAGUGAAAAAGAACCUGAAACCGUGUACGUACAAGCAGUGGGAGCACAGAGCAAUCUGUGUGACUGCGUACCUUUUGUAUAAUGGGUCAGCGACUUAUAUUCUGUAGCAAGGUUAACCGAAUAGGGGAGCCGAAGGGAAACCGAGUCUUAACCGGGCGUUAAGUUGCAGGGUAUAGACCCGAAACCCGGUGAUCUAGCCAUGGGCAGGUUGAAGGUUGGGUAACACUAACUGGAGGACCGAACCGACUAAUGUUGAAAAAUUAGCGGAUGACUUGUGGCUGGGGGUAGAAAGGCCAAUCAAACCGGGAGAUAGCUGGUUCUCCCCGAAAGCUAUUUAGGUAGCGCCUCGUGAAUUCAGUCUCCGGGGGUAGAGCACUGUUUCGGCAAGGGGGUCAUCCCGACUUACCAACCCGAUGCAAACUGCGAAUACCGGAGAAUGUUAUCACGGGAGACACACGGCGGGUGCUAACGUCCGUCGUGAAGAGGGAAACAACCCAGACCGCCAGCUAAGGUCCCAAAGUCAUGGUUAAGUGGGAAACGAUGUGGGAAGGCCCAGACAGCCAGGAUGUUGGCUUAGAAGCAGCCAUCAUUUAAAGAAAGCGUAAUAGCUCACUGGUCGAGUCGGCCUGCGCGGAAGAUGUAACGGGGCUAAACCAUGCACCGAAGCUGCGGCAGCGACACUGUGUGUUGUUGGGUAGGGGAGCGUUCUGUAAGCCUGUGAAGGUGUACUGUGAGGUAUGCUGGAGGUAUCAGAAGUGCGAAUGCUGACAUAAGUAACGAUAAAGCGGGUGAAAAGCCCGCUCGCCGGAAGACCAAGGGUUCCUGUCCAACGUUAAUCGGGGCAGGGUGAGUCGACCCCUAAGGCGAGGCCGAAAGGCGUAGUCGAUGGGAAACAGGUUAAUAUUCCUGUACUUGGUGUUACUGCGAAGGGGGGACGGAGAAGGCUAUGUUGGCCGGGCGACGGUUGUCCCGGUUUAAGCGUGUAGGCUGGUUUUCCAGGCAAAUCCGGAAAAUCAAGGCUGAGGCGUGAUGACGAGGCACUACGGUGCUGAAGCAACAAAUGCCCUGCUUCCAGGAAAAGCCUCUAAGCAUCAGGUAACAUCAAAUCGUACCCCAAACCGACACAGGUGGUCAGGUAGAGAAUACCAAGGCGCUUGAGAGAACUCGGGUGAAGGAACUAGGCAAAAUGGUGCCGUAACUUCGGGAGAAGGCACGCUGAUAUGUAGGUGAAGUCCCUCGCGGAUGGAGCUGAAAUCAGUCGAAGAUACCAGCUGGCUGCAACUGUUUAUUAAAAACACAGCACUGUGCAAACACGAAAGUGGACGUAUACGGUGUGACGCCUGCCCGGUGCCGGAAGGUUAAUUGAUGGGGUCAGCGCAAGCGAAGCUCUUGAUCGAAGCCCCGGUAAACGGCGGCCGUAACUAUAACGGUCCUAAGGUAGCGAAAUUCCUUGUCGGGUAAGUUCCGACCUGCACGAAUGGCGUAAUGAUGGCCAGGCUGUCUCCACCCGAGACUCAGUGAAAUUGAACUCGCUGUGAAGAUGCAGUGUACCCGCGGCAAGACGGAAAGACCCCGUGAACCUUUACUAUAGCUUGACACUGAACAUUGAGCCUUGAUGUGUAGGAUAGGUGGGAGGCUUUGAAGUGUGGACGCCAGUCUGCAUGGAGCCGACCUUGAAAUACCACCCUUUAAUGUUUGAUGUUCUAACGUGGACCCGUGAUCCGGGUUGCGGACAGUGUCUGGUGGGUAGUUUGACUGGGGCGGUCUCCUCCUAAAGAGUAACGGAGGAGCACGAAGGUUGGCUAAUCCUGGUCGGACAUCAGGAGGUUAGUGCAAUGGCAUAAGCCAGCUUGACUGCGAGCGUGACGGCGCGAGCAGGUGCGAAAGCAGGUCAUAGUGAUCCGGUGGUUCUGAAUGGAAGGGCCAUCGCUCAACGGAUAAAAGGUACUCCGGGGAUAACAGGCUGAUACCGCCCAAGAGUUCAUAUCGACGGCGGUGUUUGGCACCUCGAUGUCGGCUCAUCACAUCCUGGGGCUGAAGUAGGUCCCAAGGGUAUGGCUGUUCGCCAUUUAAAGUGGUACGCGAGCUGGGUUUAGAACGUCGUGAGACAGUUCGGUCCCUAUCUGCCGUGGGCGCUGGAGAACUGAGGGGGGCUGCUCCUAGUACGAGAGGACCGGAGUGGACGCAUCACUGGUGUUCGGGUUGUCAUGCCAAUGGCACUGCCCGGUAGCUAAAUGCGGAAGAGAUAAGUGCUGAAAGCAUCUAAGCACGAAACUUGCCCCGAGAUGAGUUCUCCCUGACCCUUUAAGGGUCCUGAAGGAACGUUGAAGACGACGACGUUGAUAGGCCGGGUGUGUAAGCGCAGCGAUGCGUUGAGCUAACCGGUACUAAUGAACCGUGAGGCUUAACCUU